rnacentral:rRNA from 1 species
GAUGAACGCUGGCGGCGUGCCUAAUACAUGCAAGUCGAGCGAACAGACGAGGAGCUUGCUCCUCUGACGUUAGCGGCGGACGGGUGAGUAACACGUGGAUAACCUACCUAUCAGACUGGGAUAACUUCGGGAAACCGGAGCUAAUACCGGAUAAUAUAUUGAACCGCAUGGUUCAAUAGUGAAAGACGGUUUUGCUGUCACUUAUCGAUGGAUCCGCGCCGCAUUAGCUAGUUGGUAAGGUAACGGCUUACCAAGGCGACGAUGCGUAGCCGACCUGAGAGGGGGAUCGGGCACACUGGAACUGAGAGACGGUCCAGGAACCUACGGGAGGCAGCAGUAGGGAAGCGUGCGAGAAGGGCGAAAGCCUGACGGAGCAACGCCGCGUGAGUGAUGAAGGGCUGCGGAUCGUAAAACGCUGUUAUUAGGGAAGAACAAAUGUGUAAGUAACUAUGCACGACUUGACGGUACCUAUACAGAAAGCCACGGCUAACUACGU